UAAGGAAUAUUGGACAAUGGACGCAAGUCUGAUCCAGCCAUGCCGCGUGAAGGAUGACUGCCCUCUGGGUUGUAAACUUCUUUUAUAGGGGAAGAAAGUUAUUUUUUAGGAUAUUUGACGGUACCCUAUGAAUAAGCACCGGCUAACUCCGUGCCAGCAGCCGCGGUAAUACGGAGGGUGCAAGCGUUAUCCGGAUUCACUGGGUUUAAAGGGUGCGUAGGCGGGUAUGUAAGUCAGUGGUGAAAUACCGGAGCUUAACUUCGGAACUGCCAUUGAUACUAUAUAUCUUGAAUAUUGUGGAGGUAAGCGGAAUAUGUCAUGUAGCGGUGAAAUGCUUAGAGAUGACAUGGAACACCGAUUGCGAAGGCAGCUUGCUACGCAAAUAUUGACGCUGAGGCACGAAAGCGUGGGGAUCAAACAGGAUUAGAUACCCUGGUAGUCCACGCCCUAAACGAUGAUUACUCGACAUUAGCGAUACACAGUUAGUGUCUGAGCGAAAAGCAUUAAGUAAUCCACCUGGGAAGUACGACCGC
rnacentral:rRNA from 1 species